UACGUAGGGGGCAAGCGUUGUCCGGAAUCAUUGGGCGUAAAGCGCGUGUAGGCGGCUCGGUAAGUCCGCUCUGAAAGUCCGGGGCUCAACCCCGGGAGGCGGGUGGAUACUGUCGAGCUAGAGUCCGGAAGAGGCGAGUGGAAUUCCUGGUGUAGCGGUGAAAUGCGCAGAUAUCAGGAGGAACACCAUUGGCGAAGGCAGCUCGCUGGGACGGUACUGACGCUGAGACGCGAAAGCGUGGGGAGCAAACAGG
rnacentral:rRNA from 1 species